rnacentral:rRNA from 1 species
GACGAACGCUGGCGGCGUGCCUAAUACAUGCAAGUUGAGCGAUGAAGAUUGGUGCUUGCACCAAUUUGAAGAGCAGCGAACGGGUGAGUAACGCGUGGGGAAUCUGCCUUUGAGCGGGGGACAACAUUUGGAAACGAAUGCUAAUACCGCAUAACAACUUUAAACAUAAGUUUUAAGUUUGAAAGAUGCAAUUGCAUCACUCAAAGAUGAUCCCGCGUUGUAUUAGCUAGUUGGUGAGGUAAAGGCUUACCAAGGCGAUGAUACAUAGCCGACCUGAGAGGGUGAUCGGCCACAUUGGGACUGAGACACGGCCCAAACUCCUACGGGAGGCAGCAGUAGGGAAUCUUCGGCAAUGGACGAAAGUCUGGCCGAGCAACGCCGCGUGAGUGAAGAAGGUUUUCGGAUCGUAAAACUCUGUUGGUAGAGAAGAACGUUGGUGAGAGUGGAAAGCUCAUCAAGUGACGGUAACUACCCAGAAAGGGACGGCUAACUACGUG